rnacentral:snoRNA from 1 species
GAGAUCAUACUAUACAGAAUCAUUUCUGUAGUGUGUAUUUCGCAAUCCCAACCAAAGGGCGAUACCCGUCCACCGCGAUGAAAGGGAGACGGGCGAGUUGCGAGCGGGAAGAACGCGGCAACGCGUUGAGGACCGUGGUCUGACCGCAAGGUCGGACCAGCGACUCGCUCUUCUGAGCGG